CUGCAAUGUCUAUCACCACACAUCUUCUAAUAUAAUUUCUCAACUUCAAUUACUCUGAUUUCUUCUAUAUUCGCAACUCUAUCUUGAAUCCUCUCAUCAGAUCCCUAAUUUCAGUUCUGUAUCGUGUAUGCCACGUCUUCAUGUAUCACUAAGUACUGUAAAGUUAUAAAUAUCUCAAAAUGAGCCAUAUCAGCUAUUAAACUGCCCGCGCUCAAUAUGUUUCACUUGGAUUUCUCAUGAAGUUGCACGAAUUAUUUUUCCG